GGUUCCGUGGCGCAACCAGCAGACGCGGCCGCCUCAAGAGCGGUUGAUCCUUCGGGAUCCCUGGAGGUGCGAGUCCUCCCGGAACCACCA
rnacentral:tRNA from 1 species